UAGUAAAAUACAGUUUGUGUUAAUCUCCACACAGUAUGUCUCCUUUAUCUGUUACUGUUACUGUACCUCGAACAGGUGCUUUACUGUUGAAACUAUGAAAAUUGAAGCAUUCAAUCAUAAAGAACGGUCUAUGUAACGCAUAUCAAUCUGUAACAAUAUGUUAUAUUGUGCAGAAGUUGUCGAAUAAUAUAAUGAUGCAAACUCAGGAGGCAUGGUGGCAAUAUAGAAUGACCUUUUCUCAAACGGUAUGUGGUUUUAUUUGUGCAACACACUUACACAUGCGCGUUUCACUGUAUGCCACUUAAGUUCAACAGUUAGCCAAAUAGUAGCUUGCAUUGGUAUCUGUACAGGCCGAACUUUGCAGUUUGCACUUAGUUGAAAAAAAAAACAACGCCCGCGAGCGAAGUGAAGAGUAAACUGAAAAUUUGCCCCGGAAAACGAUUUGAAGCACUUGGAGUGGUCGGGCUGAAACAAGGGAUUCCGGAACUUGAUGUCAGCGAUAGAAACUUGAUUCGGACUGACUGUGCGACUGCGAGGCGUCCCGCUAAAGGGUGUAGUCGUAGUGAAGGAUUCGAAUUGCGGCGGGCGGAAAUUGGAUGCUCCUUACGAUGGAAAAAUCCGCCAGUUAAUUAGUCAAUCGCUGUAGGUAAUUGACAAGCCUAGCUUGGAGCGUUGAAUAAAAAAUCCGAUGAACUCAUAA